AAUACAUCUAUGAUGAGAAGAAGUAUAAUCUUAACUCCAGAGAGUAAGCAUUUAGCUGAGAGCUUACAUGAGAUUAGAAGACAUCUCGGAGAGAACUCUUGAAAUAGUAGUAGGGAGUAACGUUUAAGCCCCGUUAUCGGCUAAAGAAGAGCAAAGACUUAAGGUCUUUGAAACAGGGUGGCAACACGGUUAUAUCGUCCCUGAC
rnacentral:ncRNA from 1 species